UACGUAGGGCGCAAGCGUUGUCCGGAAUACUGGGCGUAAAGCGUGCGCAGGCGGUUAUGUAAGACAGAUGUGAAAUCCCCGGGCUCAACCUGGGAACUGCAUUUGUGACUGCAUAGCUAGAGUACGGUAGAGGGGGAUGGAAUUCCGCGUGUAGCAGUGAAAUGCGUAGAUAUGCGGAGGAACACCGAUGGCGAAGGCAAUCCCCUGGACCUGUACUGACGCUCAUGCACGAAAGGCGUGGGGAGCAAACAGG
rnacentral:rRNA from 1 species